rnacentral:rRNA from 1 species
CGAGACUACAGGGAUUGCCUUAGUAACGGCGAGUGAAGCGGCAAAAGCUCAAAUUUGAAAUCUGGCGUCUUCGGCGUCCGAGUUGUAAUUUGAAGAAGGCUACUUUGGAGCUGGAGUUUGUCUAAGUUCCUUGGAACAGGACGUCACAGAGGGUGAGAAUCCCGUGAGAUAAGCUUCCCAGUUCUAUGUAAAGUGCUUUCGAAGAGUCGAGUUGUUUGGGAAUGCAGCUCUAAGUGGGUGGUAAAUUCCAUCUAAAGCUAAAUAUUGGCGAGAGACCGAUAGCGAACAAGUACAGUGAUGGAAAGAUGAAAAGAACUUUGAAAAGAGAGUGAAAAAGUACGUGAAAUUGUUGAAAGGGAAGGGCUUGAGAUCAGACAUGGUAUUUUGUAAACCUUCUCUCUCGUGGAGGGGGCCCCUUGCAGUUUACUGGGCCAGCAUCAGUUUGGGCGGUAGGAUAAUGACUAAGGAAUGUGACUUGCCUUCGGGGAAGUGUUAUAGCCUUGGUUGAUACUGCCAGCCUAGACUGAGGACCGCGUCUUGACAAGGAUUUGGC